GUUGGUGCUCCUUGGUUGGCUAUUCCAUCAAUAAACCGACCUUCACCCCCAGUGAGACCAAAGGCUGCCUAGUCUUGCACUUUGAAAGGAAAGAAGGAACAAGUGUGGGCUGUGUAGCUGGAAAUACAGUCUGAAAGACAGACACUGCUGCCAUUUCUGCCAUACACAGUGGGAAGAAUAGAGGUACCAACUACUGGUUUGAGGGAUUAGUUCUACGUUUGUCUGUUAUGUAAUAGAAAUCUCCACAGCUGGUAUCCCACUGGUGUCCCGCUGGCGUUCUCCACCACUCCAAGAGCUGGCACCAGGAUGGAGCCACAGCUCAGCACACAUCCAGAGCUGGGACCAGCUGCCCCUUACAGUUCUGCCCUAACCACAGCUGAUAUCUGUCCUCAGCCGGGCAGUGGUUUGUAAGGAAAGAAGCACAAGGAGAGCAGCUGGACAGCAGUGUGAGAGUUAAUGGCCCAGGCAGGGGUCAAGGGGCACAAAAGGGAAAAUAAAGCACCACGUCCUGAACUGCAUCCAUUUCUAUGAGAAGAGAACUGGAGACAAGAGAAGGGACACAUGACUGCUGGCAUCCCUUUCAGUGUGUCCAUCUCCAAAGAGAUGAGUCAACAGGAACAACUGCUCCAGUGACUUCUUGGAGGUACCACCACCAAAGGUUUUCAAGAUGAAGCUGGAAAAGGUGCUACAUAACCUUAUCUAGGCUUCCUUUCCUACAAGAAGUGGAACCAGUUUGCCAGCAGGAGAACGUUUGUCCUACAUCUGGCCACCCCUGAUGACACCUCAGACCAUAGGAAGGACCCACGGACCCUUCCCAGGCUGGGAAGGAGCCUGGCCAAGGCAACUGAUCCAGAUCCAAGAUACAGUGAUGGAGUAUAAGCCUCUAUGACCUGCAGAGUAUUUUCCUUUCCACUUCUUUAAACCCCAAAUCAUUUAAUACUCAUUGCUGCUUCCAAAGGAACAGAUUCCCAGCAGAGUGGUGUGUGGCCAGCUGUCCACCAAAUGAGACAAGAAAAUCAUCACUUUCUGUGUCGACUGGGGUCACACAGUGGUUUCUCAGAAGAAUCAUGGUGUCCAUCAACUGACCUCCCACUUGGAUGGAACAUAACUAUUUAUUCAGAUCACUUUUAAGCGCUACUCUCUUAGGAGCAAUGUUUGAGCAUUGGCACCUGCAGUCAGUCAGAUAUUAUAUCUCACUCUACCCCCGUCAAAAGCCCCCACUUUCCACAGGAACUCUGCCCAAGGACACAUGGAUGCUGAAUAGUCCUGGGGCCAUGAAAACAGCUGGGCUGCCAGAUCACAGAUUAUUACACUGGUGACUCUCAACAGGACACCUGAAGUGCUAUCAUUACUUAACACUUAUUAUCUUAUUUUUCUACACUGAAUUUUUACAAUUACAUCUCAUGAAUACUAACAUCUGCUUGGUAAUUAAAAAUAAUUUUUAAAAAACUAAAACAAAAAAAAACUCAAAAAAUUAUAUUAAAUUGUCUAAAUAAGCACAAAAGUAGUUAUGUUUUACUCGUCUCUAUUCAGUAAAAUUCAGUUAUUGAAUUGUGAAUGUUGUGAUAUAUAAAAUUUGCUGCCGAACUUUCUGACAGAUCAGUACUACUUAAUGCCCACAGAAAUACAAGUAAAGUUCACACUAGUAUGCUGAUCUGUAGGCCAAUGUCAUGCUGAAAGGACAGGAACCUUUCUAAGAUGACCCCAAACAAAUUUCUUCUUGCAGCAGGAGAAGCAAGAAGAAGCAGGGAGGAGACAUAGUGUCCAGAUAAGGGCAAUGCCGGUUUGGUGUUAUUUUCAAAGGAAUUUUUUAUUUUGCCUUUUCCCUGAAAUAUAAACUUCAAAGUAUUUCAAGAAUUUCUUGAUUAUAUUUAAAUAUGACUGGAUGAGCCAGAUGCCUGAAGUAAAAUGCUGAGUAUUUAAAUCUGGUUUAUAUCCCCUGCUCUGAAUCAUUACUUUGUCAUGGCUCUUGCAAGAUACAGUAAAAGGAAAAAAUAACUGACAAUGGUAGGUAAGACAUUCAGAAACUUUCAAAGGCUAAGCAUCAGAGUCUUCAAACCAUAAAAAAGCAUAUUUUUAAGCACAAUCAGUUUUCUUAGCCUAUAUAACCAUAUAAGGUUGUUGCAUAGAAAUUAAAUACAACUUACAAGCAAAAUAAGACAAAUGUAAUUUAAUGAACACCAUUGCCUUCUAACAUGAGGUUAUUUUUUUCACUAUGAAGGGAAGAAAAGAAAUUAGUUUAUACACAGCAGUCUUCUGCCUGUCAUUUUAAGGCAAAAAACAUUAUACAGUUUGUAGGGAAAGCAAAUUUAGGAAAGUUUCCAGGCACCUGAGAUGUGAAGAAGAGCACAUGCACACCAUUUUCUGUUUCUUCCAACUCCAUCUCUUGUGGUGGGUAUUGCUACCCCCUUCAAGCAUUGUGAUUCAGACAUUAAGUUUACUUUUAAGCGUUAUAAAACAGAAAGUAUGUUUUUGUCAACACAGAAAGUUAAUCUGUACUGGGGUAAGACAAGUAAAAUGUGUGUAAUAGCUACCACAUUCAAAAUUAGACAUAUAUUUCCUAUAACAGCACCUACAUAGGAAGCUAAUUGAAAGCAAUCAAUCAAAAGUAGUUAUUUAAGAAUAAAUUUCCAUGUGCAUAAAUUCUACAAGAUCAUCUAAAUGCUGACAGAAAUUUUCCUAGCACUUUAGUGCAAUGAAAUACAACCAUAAAUUGAUCAUACACAGCACAAAACUUCAAUUUUGAACAAGCAAAUUAAAUGAUUUUUUUUUUUUAAAUUGUCCUUAAUCCAAGCCUUUUCUUUUUGGUGAAACUCACUAUCUUCCUACUUGGAACACUCUCCAGCUGCAACUUGGCAGGUUAGUUUAAUCCGUUAAUAUUUACAUUUUCUUAGUUAAAAUAUUUUGACAUUUCAGUGAUGAAGGUGUGAUAUCUGCUAUUUUAGAAUAGAGUUAUUAUUUUCUUGACACAGGUUCCCUGAGUAUACUGAGUUUGAUGUUGUUUUUGGCAACUCUGUUGUGUUGCAAGAAGCUGGAUAAUACAAAUACCUACAUAUUUAUCUCUGAUUUUGAUACCCAAGACAAUAUAUUACUAGAAAUUGGAACAUCUAUUUUUUGCAAUAUUGUCCCUGUUUCAUUAAAGACAAAUAUAUUUUUCAGUAAAAUGCAGUCUGUACCAUUUCUGAUGAAAAAGUUAAUUAAUUCUUUUCUAAGAGCACAUUGUAAAACAAAAGGGAGAAGCAGGUCAUGCAUAAAUAGGCAAUCAGGCAAGGGAAAACUCUGGAAAGCUCCACUAGCCCUGGAAAGAAGUAAAUUAAAAUCAAUAAAUACUAAUAUGAUGACAGACAAAAAGACAGCACCAUGUAUGAAAAUCCACUUUCAACCUCAACCACAUGUUAAAAUGAAAACCAGUUUCAAUUUAACCCACAUCUGCAUAACAGAACCUUUCGGAAAGUAUUCAGUAAAAUAGUGUUUGUUUACUCUCCCUUUUGCUUUUCCACCUCUUCCCUGUCUUUUGCCCAUAUUUACUGCAUUCUCUGAGAAGCUGUUAAAUAAUGUCUUCUGUCCUACAACUGAGAUGGCAAGUCCAACAUCAGAAUGCAUCCAGAAGAAGGAAAUCAAUUUUGCUGACCUAGAAUGGCAUAACUAAUUUUUAUUAUUGUGUCAGAAACCAGAUUGUUAAUAAAAUGAGAGGAACCAUGGUUUCUAGUUUUGUUCCUUAAAACAAAACGAACCCUUCUAAAGAGCCAGGAGGUUUCUCACUCACUCACCUGACCUGGAUGUUUUUCACAAAGAUGAACGAUUGCUGCAGCAACUGCCAGGAUGUUGUGUGUGACGCUUCUCUCAAGAAAUAUUGCAGUGCAUGGGGUCAUACUGCAUGGAAUCUCUUGGUAAAAUAUGUGUUUUUACUAUCAGAAGUAUUUAUUGUUGUAAAACAAUAGUGGAAGCUGUUAUAUCGUUAUAACAUGGAGAGUGCCAAGUCUCCAGCUUGAACAUUUCUAUAAUAAACACUAAGGA